UCUCCGUAGGUGAACCUGCGGAGGGAUCAUUACAGAGUUCAUGCCCUACCGGGUAGAUCUCCCACCCUAUGUUAUUAUUACUUUGUUGCUUUGGCGGGCCGUUAGGCUCCGGCCCGACUACCGGCCCCGGCUGGUAAGCGCCCGCCAGAGGACCCAAAACCCUAAAUAUUAGUGUCGUCUGAGUACUAUUUAUUAGUUAAAACUUUCAACAACGGAUCUCUUGGUUCUG
rnacentral:misc_RNA from 1 species